AAAGGCUUGCAAUUCAGCCUGAAGAAGCUGAUAGAUUUCCUGGGUUAACCUGCUCAACCUGAUCUCCGUUAGCCUUGUGAGAUGUUCAAGGUCAUGUCUGAAGGAGGGAAGCUGAAAGAACAUCUAUUCUUCUGGAAGAAGUGGUGUAACAUCCCACACCUCACCAGCACACCCAUGGACCCCUUGGGACGAAGGUGGCUGGCAGUGUGUGUUUUGAGAGACACAAAAACUCACACUGGUCUGAUGGCAGGAGGUACUGUGCUGUGCAGCCAUUCAGUGUUCAUCCAGCCUGGGGUCUGCCUUACGUUUUGAAUUAUCUGCAGCUUGAUCCGUGAGUACUUGUCGUGCUGUGCAUUUGGCAGAUGGUGGGAAGUAAAACAGCAGGUCAUGCUGAGUAUGCUUCAGGUGUGUAGUUCCAUCCUGUCAGCCUUGGGGUGAGGGUGAGCCAUCCUGAAAACCAAACCAAGUGGUGUGAGUGACAGAAGUGACUGAAUGGCUGUGACGUACAGAGAUGCAGCAGUGCCUGCGUGUGGCUGUGCUUGUGCAGAGGCUGUGGUGGGGAUGUGUUAUUUUUUAUUUUAUUCAAAUAAACACUGUGGCCCUGUUCUUUGAUGGGCUGAA
rnacentral:lncRNA from 1 species